CUUUCUGUUGCUUGAGGGAACAAUAACAUACACCUCUACCCCGCUAUAACGCGACCCGCUAUAAUGCGGGUUCGCAUACAACGCGGUAAAGCUCCAACAUGCUGCUCUGAGCAGCGUGUUAAGGGUGCUGGGCC